GAAAAACUUACUCCGAAUUCCUAAAAUAAGCUAUCAAAAGAAAGGUUUAUGGGUCUAUAUUCUGAUCAAAUAAGUUUUGUCUAAAUCAGAGAUCAAUACAUGAAGUUAUAACUAUAACAAGGUAGAAAGGUCAGAAUAUCAGAAGUUACACAGAUUCGAAUCGUUACGUCUAAACAGGAGAUAUAUCAAAUGCAAGGCUAGAACAAUUCAAAGUUCCU
rnacentral:lncRNA from 1 species